CGAAAGAUUGAUCCAGUUACUUAUUAGAAUGAUAUAUAAUCUAAUAAUAUAUUUAAUUAUAAAUAUAUUGUAUAUAUAAUAUAUAUAAAUUGAUUAAAAAUAAAGUUCAUAAAUAGUUUAAAUAAUGAUAUAAACUACCUAUAUUUAUAUAUAUAGGAUAUAAUAAAUUAUAUUUAUUAUAUUUUAAUAGUCCUAACCAAUAUUUGUGCCAGCAGCUGCGGUAAUACAAAGAGGGCUAGCAUUAAUCAUAAUGGUUUAAAGGAUACGUAGAAUUAAAUUAUUUAUAAUAAUUUUAGAGUUAAUAAAUAUUAAUUAAAGAAUUAUAAUAGUAAAGAUGAAAUAAUUAUAAUAAUUAUAAGACUGGUAUAUGUGAAAAUAUUAAUUAAUUAUUAACUGACAUUGAGGUAUUAAGACUAGAGUAGCGAAACGGAUUCGAUACCCGUGUAGUUCUAGUAGUAAACUAUGAGUACUAUAUAAUAUAUUUAAUAAUAUAUAUAUUAUAUACAUGAAAAUGUAAGUAUUCCACCUGAAGAGUACGUUAUCAAUAAUGAAACUCAAAACAAUAGACGGUUACAGACUUAAGCAGUGGAGCAU
rnacentral:rRNA from 1 species